CCAGCUUCCUGGCUUGGAAAGGUUGGAGGAGCAAUGACAGGUGUCCCGGGGCUCGAAUGACUGGCCGGGGCGGCAGAAGAAGCUGGCCUGGUCGCCUCAGAGCCCUCUUGGACGCAGUAGCAGCACUCACUCAGCUUUUUCUGCUUCUCACAUCCAAUGGAGGAGUAUACAACUUCAGCAUUAGCGCCGUGGAGGGGAGGACUACGCAGCUGUCGAAAGAGCAAAUUCCUGGCCUCCUGGAAAAGCACAUCUUAGUGUCAUUUCUGAGCUGGGCUUAUUGGCAUUUGUGGUGCCAGACAAUGGCUUGUUGUACAUCUGGGACCACUGACUAGAAAGGCAAGAGCAUCCAAGUUCUUCUCUUCCCUGCACAACCACAGACCUCUCGGAUAUGGUACGAAAUGACACCGUGUUUCAAGGACAUGGAUUCUGAGAGGUGCUGCCAAGUAGAAGAACGUGAGCUUGAGGUGGUACCUAACUAAUACCACUCAGCCGGCCAUGUGGAAUGCAAAGACAGCCACAACGUGCUUGGCCAGAGCGAAAGCGGUUCAGCUUCCUCGUGACGCGGUGAACAGAGCUGUCACCUCCCUCGCCUCCCUUCCUCCAAGCUGUCACAGUCCAUGCUUUUCACCCAGGGAUCUAAAGUCUUAACAAAGACAGAGACGACCCCACUCCCGUGCUUACUCUUGCACAUUUGCAAGAUGAGACUUGUUUUUUUAAAGGCACACAUACCCUUCCUCAGGUGCAAUGUUGAGCAUGGCUCCCUCCCUCUGCCCCACAUCAGACUGUGAAAACCCCAUCGGCUCCUUCUUGCCCUUUUGAAAAUGAGGAGUUUGGAGUUGGAGAGUUUACAUUUUCCUCAGACCCAAGUUGGAAUAAAGACCAUCUCUUUAAACGAACAUGCAUAAAUUGGGAUGCUGAGGCAGGAGGACUGCCUUGAGUUCACGGAGUUCUGCUGCUGCCCAGCACCUCACAAGCCCACCCAGUCGUCCACUGCAAAGAUCAUGAAGGGAUGGAAGCCUGAACGAGUCCACGGACACACAGCUCCCGUUGCUAACUUCAGCUGUAGCUUCUCUGCAUAAACUUCCGAUUGGGAGGGUGGGCCUCCCUCGCAGCAGCUCCGCAGUGGACUGAGCGCAGCUGUGAAGGGGCAGGUGGCCUCACUCUCUCCUCCAUGAAUUCUCUCACAAAGACAUUUUAGGAUGUGUGUGAACUCUAAACCUUGCUGCUACUGGAGCGGGGCGCACUGAGUGGAGAGGACAGGAGCGGAGAGCAGGCCCUCAGUUAAUGCACCUUUUUCUUUAUUUUUCUAUAUUUGAGACACCAGGCUAGCCCCAAGUCCAUGUUGACCUUUCUGCCUCAGCUUCCCGACCUGGGACUAUAGGUACGAGCCAACAUACUUGGCUUAGAAUCUAUCUUUUCAUACAGUUUCCUUCUACCUGGUGCUGGAGAUUGAACCCAGAGCCUUGUAUAUGCCAGGCAAGUGUUUCUCUACCACUGAGCUAUCUCCAGCCCCAUUUUAAAAUAGAUUUGACUUUGACCCUGUAAAUAAAUAAUUUUCUUGUACACACACAUACACACAAUGCUAGGAAUGAAAACCUGAGGCUUUGCCCAAGCUAGGCAAAUGCUCUAUCACUGAG